AUUGAACGCUGGCGGCAGGCCUAACACAUGCAAGUCGAGCGAGCGGCGGACGGGGGAGUAAUGUAUGGGGACUGCCCGCUAGAGGGGGAUAACUACUGGAAACGGUGGCUAAUACCGCAUACUAUCGGAUAACCCAUAUGUGAUUAGCUAGUAGGUGGGGUAAAGGCUCACCUAGGCGACGAUCUCUAUCUGGUCUGAGAGGAUGAUCAGCCACACUGGGACUGAGACACGGCCCAGACUCCUACGGAGGCAGCAUUGGGGAAUAUUGCAUAAUGGGCGCAAGCCUGAUGCAGCCAUGCCGCGUGUGUGAAGAAGGCCUUAGGGUUGUAAAGUACUUGCAGCGGGGAGGCGGGAAAGGAAGAAGAAGCACCGGCUAACUCCGUGCCAGCAGCCGCGGUAAUUG
rnacentral:rRNA from 1 species